AACGAACGCUGGCGGCAGGCCUAACACAUGCAAGUCGAACGCCCUAGCAAUAGGGAGUGGCGCACGGGUGCGUAACGCGUGGGAAUAUGCCCUUCACUGCGGAAUAACGUUUGGAAACGAACGCUAAUACCGCAUAAUGACUCCGGUCCAAAGAUUUAUCGGUGAAGGAUUAGCCCGCGUUAGAUUAGCUAGUUGGUGAGGUAAUGGCUCACCAAGGCGACGAUCUAUAGCUGGUCUGAGAGGAUGAUCAGCCACACUGGGACUGAGACACGGCCCAGACUCCUACGGGAGGCAGCAGUGAGGAAUAUUGGACAAUGGGCGCAAGCCUGAUCCAGCCAUGCCGCGUGAGUGAAGAAGGCCUUCGGUUGUAAGCUCUUUCAGAUGUGAAGAUAAUGACGGUAGCAUCAGAAGAAGA
rnacentral:rRNA from 1 species